AAGCAGGAUUCAGGCUAGAAUACAGCUGCUACGUGCUGUGUUAUUGUUCCCCCUGCUCAGAAAUAAUGUUUCUUAAUUAUACCUGUCUAGCAGCCAGGGAUGCUUGUUGUCAGACAU
ensembl:snoRNA SNORA63 Small nucleolar RNA SNORA63